CCCACAGACACCUUGACCAAGGAAGUGCACCCUGGAAAUAGGAAAGGAACAGAUUUCCUUUGAUUGCCACUUCUUGCCUUUCCGGAUGAAUCAGAAAAUAAUUUGAUUGGACGAGUUAAGCACUUAGCCUGUGCCUGAUGCAUGCUGAGAUUUCAGUCUUCAUGAACUCAGAUGGCAUAAGCCACAAGCUCUCAUGGCUGGUCCCUUCCAGGGCUCAAGGCUGGGAAACUAUGAGGUCUGAGUAUGUCAUCCAGUUACAUGGGAGCACACAGACAAGUGGAAGAUACUCUGGCUGUCAGUAUACAGAGGGUGUCAUCAAGAGCUUCGGAGUGAGGAGCAGGGGAGCCCCAGACCCAGGAAGUUGCUGUUCUGGAGAGUGCUGGUGGAGGCCCUGGGCCACAGUGUCAGGAACAGCCGCAGAGCUGAUGAUCAGCUCAUGCCUGGCACAGAUUAAAGCACACCUUCUCAUCGUUCUUCUUCUUUUAAAAUAAAAAUACUGUAUUUACUUAGAAGCAUUCAGAAUGUCAGCAAAACUAUGUCUUUUUUUUUUGCAAUUACAGAAUGAUGUUCAGUUAUUAAUUAUUUCAUAUAAGGUGCAUCAGAUAAAACCAAAGAUGAAGCGACU
rnacentral:lncRNA from 1 species